rnacentral:rRNA from 1 species
UCCGGUUGAUCCCGCCGGACCUGACUGCUAUCGGAUUGAUACUAAGCCAUGCGAGUCAUUGUAGCAAUACAAGGCAUACGGCUCAGUAACGCGUAGUCAACCUAACCUAUGGACGGGAAUAACCUCGGGAAACUGAGAAUAAUGCCCGAUAGAACACUAUACCUGGAAUGGUUUGUGUUCCAAAUGAUUUAUCGCCAUAGGAUGGGACUGCGGCCUAUCAGUUUGUUGGUGAGGUAAUGGCCCACCAAGACUAUUACAGGUACGGGCUCUGAGAGGAGUAGCCCGGAGAUGGGUACUGAGACACGGACCCAGGCCCUAUGGGGCGCAGCAGGCGAGAAAACUUUGCAAUGUGCGAAAGCACGACAAGGUUAAUCCGAGUGAUUUGUGCUAAACGAAUCUUUUGUUAGUCCUAGAAACACUAACGAAUAAGGGGUGGGCAAGUUCUGGUGUCAGCCGCCGCGGUAAAACCAGCACCUCAAGUGGUCAGGAUGAUUAUUGGGCCUAAAGCAUCCGUAGCCGGCUCUGUAAGUUUUCGGUUAAAUCUGUACGCUUAACGUACAGGCUGCCGGGAAUACUGCAAAGCUAGGGAGUGGGAGAGGUAGACGGUACUCGGUAGGAAGUGGUAAAAUGCUUUGAUCUAUCGAUGACCACCUGUGGCGAAGGCGGUCUACCAGAACACGUCCGACGGUGAGGGAUGAAAGCUGGGGGAGCAAACCGGAUUAGAUACCCGGGUAGUCCCAGCUGUAAACUAUGCAAACUCAGUGAUGCAUUGGCUUGUGGCCAAUGCAGUGCUGCAGGGAAGCCGUUAAGUUUGCCGCCUGGGAAGUACGUACGCAAGUAUGAAACUUAAAGGAAUUGGCGGGGGAGCACCACAAGGGGUGAAGCCUGCGGUUCAAUUGGAUUCAACGCCGGA